AUACGGAGGGGGCUAGCGUUGUUCGGAUUUACUGGGCGUAAAGCGCACGUAGGCGGUAUAUCAAGUUAGGCGUGAAAGCCCCGGGCUCAACCCGGGAACUGCGCUUAUUACUGAUAAACUAGAGUCCGGGAGAGGGUAGCGGAAUUCCCAGUGUAGAGGUGAAAUUCGUAGAUAUUGGGAAGAACACCAGUUGCGAAGGCGGCUACCUGGACCGAUACUGACGCUGAUGCGCGAAAGCGUGGGGAGCAAACAGGAUUAGAAACCCCAGUAGUCC
rnacentral:rRNA from 1 species